GUCCAACUAACAAGUUCCAAAUAGGACGAAAUGCGCGUCUUGGAC
rnacentral:hammerhead_ribozyme from 1 species